rnacentral:rRNA from 1 species
AUACGGAGGGUGCAAGCGUUGUUCGGAAUCACUGGGCGUAAAGCGCGUGUAGGCGGCUUAGUAGGUCAGAUGUGAAAGCCCUCGGCUCAACCGGGGAAGUGCAUUGGAAACUGGACAACUUGAGUACGGGAGAGGGUAGUGGAAUUCCGAGUGUAGGGGUGAAAUCCGUAGAUAUUCGGAGGAACACCGGUGGCGAAGGCGGCUACCUGGACCGAUACUGACGCUGAGACGCGAAAGCGUGGGGAGC